AUUGAACGCUGGCGGCAUGCUUUACACAUGCAAGUCGAACGGUAACAGGCCGCAAGGUGCUGACGAGUGGCGAACGGGUGAGUAAUGCAUCGGAACGUGCCCAGUCGUGGGGGAUAACGCAGCGAAAGCUGUGCUAAUACCGCAUACGAUCUAUGGAUGAAAGCGGGGGACCGUAAGGCCUCGCGCGAUUGGAGCGGCCGAUGUCAGAUUAGGUAGUUGGUGGGGUAAAGGCUCACCAAGCCAACGAUCUGUAGCUGGUCGGAGAGGACGACCAGCCACACUGGGACGGAGACGCGGCCCAGACUCCUACGGGAGGCAGCAGUGGGGAAUUUUGGACGAUGGGCGCAAGCCUGAUCCAGCAAGGCCGCGUGCAGGAAGAAGGCCUUCGGGUUGUAAACUGCUUUUGUACGGAACGAAAAGGUUUGGGUUAAUACCCUGGGCCGAUGACGGUACCGUAAGAAUAAGCACCGGCUAACUACGUGCCAGCCGCCGCCGUAA
rnacentral:rRNA from 1 species